rnacentral:misc_RNA from 1 species
GAAGGAAUCACUUGUGACCCGUACCGUCAGGCUUAACGGCGUACCUCAUACACCGGUUUGAAGAUUCGCGGGCCAUGUAAAUAACAAAUAAAAAACCGUAUCCCUUAAAAAUCUUCACGUAGUAGUGUAAGUUUCACAUGUGCAGCCUGUGCCAGUUUUUCUCUAUCAUUUUUGCAGCAUUUUUAAUGUUUUAUUUAUUUUAAGAUAAUGACAGAGCGAGUAUUAUCAGAGUCCAACCAAUCCUUGUUUCAAAUUAUUAUUGAAGAAAUAUUGAAGGAACAUUCUGUUAUGUCGAAUUUACAUAUGCAUGUUUUUUGUAAAAAGACAAUACCAUUUAGAGAAUUAAAUUUUAAGAGUUGUAUAUAUUCUGUAAUACUUCAAAUACUAACUAUUUUUUCUGCAAUAAUUAACUGGUUGAUAUCUUAUCACCUAUUAAAGUCUGGUUCGUAUUUUUUGUAUUUAUGGAUUGGGAAUAUCGAAGUCUUAAUUUGUUUGCAUAUUCUGAUAAACUUAUUAAAUAAGAACUACACCAAACAGAUUUUUUUGUUAAAGAAUUUAUAUGUGACAUGGCGUUUGUGGCUAUCUUUUAUUUUUUUAACAAUAACCUACGGUUUAGAUUUUAUGGCAUUUACUAAGAAAUCUGCAGGCUCUGAGUUUUCGCAAUUUAGUCAAGUAAUUUUACUGCCUAUAAUGUUAAUACUGAUACAUUUGAUCUACGAUAUCAAACUUCAGAAGUGGGUAUACUUUUCUAUUUUUCUAACAACUAUCUGGAAAUUUAUAUCUCUUUGUUCUGAUUCUGAAUUCAAAUUAUCUUUUUAUCUUAGUUUUUGCUGUUUUAUUUAUUCCUUUAUCCACUGUUAUUAUCUUAUUCUAGUUAAAGUUUUUUUGAUAAAAGGUUCAAUUUUUCAACUUUUAUAUUAUCAAAACAUUGUUUCUGCACUUUUCCUACCUUUUGUAAUACUUCUGAACAAUCAAUUUAAGUUUCCUAUUUUUUCAAUAGAAAUUUUUUUUUGGGCAUUCUUUUCAGCAACAUUCAAAUUUAUUACUUUAUUUAUAAAUUUUCUACUACUAAAGAAUACUGAUUUGUUAAUAAAUGCAGCAGUUUUAAAUGUUCCAUUUCUUGCAAACGACUUGAUAAAAGCAUUAGUCUACAAGUUGGAUUGUCAUAUAUCAGCAACAAGAGUCGGUAUUAUCUUUGUGUGGGAUUGGAUUUCAUUUAAUUUUGCGUUAAAAAAAGUUGGGUGACAUUCCAUGAACUAACACAGCAGUUUGCAAUUAAGUUUAUUUUAAAUUAUUUUAAAUUACCUAGAGACUUCACAAAGUCAAUAGGACACAAAAUGCUUUAAUUUGAGUUAUUUUUCUUCAUUUAAUAAUUAAAGUUAACAGUCCUUUAGUCAGUUUUUAUUUGUAUACCUAAUUUUAUAACUUACAUUAACUAUAUAAUAAAUUUUUGCAGAUACCAGAUAAACCCUGAGGGUUGAAUAUGAUGAAACAUGCUCCCUAUAUUCCUCUAUAACCUGUCAUUGAAACUGUCAUUGGGCAUACAUUGAUUACACUGGCAGGUUUUAGUUGUGGCAUGGAUCAAACUUUUGUUCUUGUUACAAUUGAACUUGCUAAGCAUAUCAAAUAUUGAAGAUAUUGAUAUUGGCAAUGAAAAUCAAAUUUAUUCAAUUGCAUUAAAUCAAAAUGGCAGCAAAGCUGCCAUAGGAUUAGAUAGUGGCUCAUUGCAAGGAUCGCACUCAGUUUGUUUCAAUUAAUGGAUUUGAAUCCACACAUAAAGUUAUUAAAUAUGGCGUUCCACAAGCUUUUUAACUGUUAUACUUGGGAAAGAAUUCGAAAAGUUAGAACUAGUUUAUCUUGCAAUCUACCAUUGGUUGCAGUAAAGUUUUAUCCCUGUCUUACAAGAGAUGUUGUUUUUACAGCUGGU